rnacentral:rRNA from 1 species
UGGGGAAUAUUGCACAAUGGGCGCAAGCCUGAUGCAGCCAUGCCGCGUGUGUGAAGAAGGCCUUCGGGUUGUAAAGCACUUUCAGCGGGGAGGAAGGCGUUAAGGUUAAUAACCUUGGCGACUGACGUUACCCGCAGAAGAAGCACCGGCUAACUCCGUGCCAGCAGCCGCGGUAAUACGGAGGGUGCAAGCGUUAAUCGGAAUUACUGGGCGUAAAGCGCACGCAGGCGGUCUGUCAAGUCAGAUGUGAAAUCCCCGGGCUAAACCUGGGAACUGCAUUCGAAACUGGAAGGCUAGAGUGUUGUAGAGGGGGGUAGAAUUCCAGGUGUAGCGGUGAAAUGCGUAGAGAUCUGGAGGAAUACCGGUGGCGAAGGCGGCCCCCUGGACAAAGACUGACGCUCAGGUGCGAAAGCGUGGGGAGCAAACAGG